CCAUCCUCAAAUCCCUACUCCAUCGACACCAUCAUUAUCAAACACACCCACACCUUCCACCAUCACCUCUACCAUCUACACACUAAACUCAAUGGCCUACUCAAUCACAGAAGUGUAUUGGCGCUGCCACUACCACCCACAACCAUCCUCCAUUAAAACCUGCCAAAAAUCGCAGAAACUAAAAAUAAAAUAAAAAAUUGGAUCCAAAUUCUUUUCUCAGAUCCUAAAACUCCAGUAUGUUCAUUUUCGAUCCAAUCGAGAUUUUUAUUUGUAAGAUUUUUAAUUUAGUAAUGGGUUUCCCAACAAAACGAAAUGUUUGAUACUAUAGUUUCUUGACUGAACCAAAUCGAUGGGAAAUCUGGUUUAUCAACUUGAAUAAUCUACGUCAAGUAAGAGAGAACCAAACUCGAGGGAGAAAAUUCUGGCUUUAUAUAUUUAGAACUUUAAAUUCGGAUUUCGCACAUGAAAAACAUCGGAUAAGAGAUAACCAGAUUUUAUGCAAGAACAUCUGGAAGAUUUCUACCCUAUAUUUUAUACCUAAACCUGAGGAGAAAUCCUUCAGUUGUUGGCAGUCCAAGCUUGACAUGGUGCUAGCAAAGCUCAUCAAUUAUUGCAUUCGCCACUAUGAACUCCAUCAAUUUGGUGUGGAUAGGAUGAGUUUGGUGGGGGUGGGAUAAGGAUGGGGAUGAGGGGACAAAUUUUGUGGCGGUUUCCAUAACUUCGACCUUGCUACAUGUACAUCAAC
rnacentral:lncRNA from 1 species